GCUUAGACGUAAACCAAGGCAGCCUUUUAAACCAACCUGCCCGCCAGAGUAUUACAAGUGAAAAACUUAAAACUCAAAGGACUUGACGGCAUUCCACACCCUACUAGAGGAGCCUGUCCUAUAACCGAUAAUCCACGUUUCACCUCACCUGUUCUCGCACAAACUCAGCCUAUAUACCGCCGUCUUCCAGCUCGCCUUACAAAAGAACCAAACGCGGGCAAACCAGCCUAACACUAAUACGUCAGGUCAAGGUGUAGCUAACGCACAGGCAGAGAUGGGCUACAUUUUCUACACAACAGAAAACAACCCCCCGCACCAUGAAACAAGUGCCCAAAGGAGGAUUUAGCAGUAAGCCGCGCAAGACUGCCCGACUGAACAACGCCAUGGAAUGCGUACAC
rnacentral:rRNA from 1 species